AGUACGUGAAACUGCUUAGAGGUUAAGCCUGAUGAACCUGAAUAUCCAUUAUGGAAAAUUCAUCACUAAUAACAUGAUAUUUUAAAAAUAUUAUAUAAAUGGUGUGCAAUUUUUCCAUAUAAGGACAUUGUAAUCUGUUAAUGUAAUAAAUAUUUAUCAAAAGAUCCAUUACUUAAGUUUAAUUAAAUUAGUUAUUUUCGGAUUUCUAACAUAAAUUAAAUGUUUUGGAUUUGAUAAAUCAUUGACAGAUAAAAUUAUAUAUUGUGCUCAAAUUUUUCGGAAUUUUAUCAAUAAUAGAUAGAUCUAUUGAUUUUAUUUAUUUAUUGUAUGCGCUAUAUGAUUAACAAUGCGAUAGAUUCAGGAUACCUUCAGGACCCGUCUUGAAACACGGACCAAGGAGUCUAACAUAUGUGCAAGUCAUUGGGUAUUUUUAAUAAAACCCAAUGGCAUAAUUAACUUAACUGUUAAUUUUAAUUAAUGGGAUUAGUUUAUAUUUUGUUAUGAAAUAUUUAUUCAAUCCCGGGGCGUUCUAUAUAGUUAUGUAUAAUGAUAUUUAUAUUAUUUAUGCCUCUAACUAGAGCGUACCCUGAGC
rnacentral:rRNA from 1 species